UAGAGUUUGAUCCUGGCUCAGAUUGAACGCUGGCGGCAUGCCUUACACAUGCAAGUCGGACGGCAGCGCGGGCUUCGGCCUGGCGGCGAGUGGCGAACGGGUGAGUAAUACAUCGGAACGUGUCCUGGAGUGGGGGAUAGCCCGGCGAAAGCCGGAUUAAUACCGCAUACGCUCUGCGGAGGAAAGCGGGGGACCUUCGGGCCUCGCGCUCAAGGGGCGGCCGAUGGCAGAUUAGCUAGUUGGUGGGGUAAAGGCCUACCAAGGCGACGAUCUGUAGCUGGUCUGAGAGGACGACCAGCCACACUGGGACUGAGACACGGCCCAGACUCCUACGGGAGGCAGCAGUGGGGAAUUUUGGACAAUGGGGGCAACCCUGAUCCAGCAAUGCCGCGUGUGUGAAGAAGGCCUUCGGGUUGUAAAGCACUUUUGUCCGGAAAGAAAGCGUCCUGGCUAAUACCUGGGGCGGAUGACGGUACCGGAAGAAUAAGCACCGGCUAACUACGUGCCAGCAGCCGCGGUAAUACGUAGGGUGCAAGCGUUAAUCGGAAUUACUGGGCGUAAAGCGUGCGCAGGCGGUUUUGUAAGUCUGACGUGAAAUCCCCGGGCUCAACCUGGGAAUUGCGUUGGAGACUGCAAGGCUGGAGUCUGGCAGAGGGGGGUAGAAUUCCACGUGUAGCAGUGAAAUGCGUAGAGAUGUGGAGGAACACCGAUGGCGAAGGCAGCCCCCUGGG
rnacentral:rRNA from 1 species